rnacentral:rRNA from 1 species
CCCUUAGAUGUCCUGGGCCGCACGCGCGCUACACUGAGUGUCUGAGAUACGAGUCUGCCUGGUCCGGCAAGGUCUAGGUAAUCGCUAAAAGACACAUCAUGCUUGGGAUAGAUUAUUGCAAAUAUUAAUCUUGAACGAGGAAUUCCUAGUAAACGCAGAUCAUCAAUCUGCAUUGAUUACGUCCCUGCCCUUUGUACACACCGCCCGUCGCACCUACCGAUUGGAUGGUCCGGUGAAGCCUCGGGAUUGUGGUUCUUGCCGCUUUAUUGUGGCGUGACCGCGAGAACUUGUCUAAACCUUAUCAUCUAGAGGAAGGUGAAGUCGUAACA